rnacentral:rRNA from 1 species
ACAUUCACUUUAAAUAGGGCUCCGUCGAAAUCCGUUGAGACGACACCGUAUGAAUUAUGGUUUGGGAAGAAACCUAAGCUGUCGUUUCUAAAAGUUUGGGGAUGCGAUGCUUAUGUCAAGAAACUUCAACCUGAAAAGCUCGAACCCAAGUCGGAAAAAUGCGUCUUCAUAGGAUACCCAAAAGAAACUAUUGGGUACACCUUCUACCUCAGAUCCGAAGGCAAGAUCUUUGUUGCCAAGAAUGGGUCCUUUCUAGAGAAAGAGUUUCUCUCGAAAGAAGCAAGUGGGAGGAAAGUAGAGCUUGAUGAAGUAUUACCUCUUGAACCGGAAAAUGGCGCAACUCAAGAAAAUGUUCCUGAGGUGCCUGCACCGACUAGAGAGGAAGUUAAU